AGAGGUGUUGUGAAGAUUACAGAUUAUAAGGGCAAAAUGGUGGCUGUAUCAGUGAACAGUAGUCAGGAUUAUUUUUUACUUUCCAGUGACUCAAACCUCUCCUAAACUGCUCUCUCAGUUUUGGCUCCGUCUUCCCAUGAUAAUAAUAGGUGGUGUAGAGAGGUGACAGAGUCAAGGAACAUGGUUCUUGUUUUCUGAAGAUGGUUCUUUCCUCAAGCCCUUUGAGUCUUCUUUGGUCUUAUAUUCUCAUCACAGAAGGAGAGGUGAUUGUCUUUCCCCAGUUUUGUCUACCAUUCCGGUUCCAUCUGCAUUCCCGGAGGAGUCCUGUUGAGGGCAGAGUGACUGUGAGCAAAACAAGAAGAGCUGUGUCACCAAGUUCCAUAAAAUCUGGGAGCCCAAGCAGCAUAUUUGUGGGAUUUGUCUGACAGAACGCAAUGGAAACAGAGCGUGGCAUUCGCUCCAUCUCCCCCAGAUGUUCCAUAAGUUUCUGCUUCCAUCAGCAAUGUAAGGAAGUGCCCAAUUCCUCCUACCCCCACAUUACUGAGAAUCUUAUCAAAUUUUUUGAUCUUUUCUGAUUGGGCAAGGAAAGCAUCUUUUGGGACCAUCAAAUGCAUCCUGUUCCUGAAGGAGCAGAAACAGUGAAAGCGGACACUUGUCUCAGCUGGCCUCUGUCUCUAGCAUGAAAUCCCUGGAGAGUGAUUUUGCAGCCCCUCUUCCAGAACACAGGAAAAGUCUGGGUGUGGCAAAAGGUGUCCUGAGGAGUGAUGGGAUGUUAGGGCAUGAAGAAGAAUGAAGAAGAGUGUCCAAGACAACUGGUUCAUGUUGCAAUUUUACUGAAGGUCAGCAAAGUGGAGAAUGCUGUUCUGGGAGAACUGGAUGCCUUCAGAUUGUGCCAGCUCUCCAAUCCUGAAGUCAAAAUGGAAUGCAUCUCUGCUCUUCCUCUGGGCAUCAUCUAAUUUUUUUGUUCUUGUUUUCCUUGUGCUGGAAUCUACAACACCCUCUCCUAGCCCCUCAACCAGCCUUUCUUCUGCAGAGCAACUUAGUUCUAAUUAGCAACUACAAACCUAUUCACCUACAUCCAAGAGUUCAGUAGUGUCUUUUAAGUAUGUAACAGGCAAUUCUUUUACAUUUUAUUGAGAUGACUACUUUAAAAAAAUUGGUUGCUACCCAGAACUGUUUAGAACAUUGCUUGCUUUAGGUAAGUGAGUGAAGCAAGAUGUGAUAACAUAGGGCUGGGGGACUAGAGUUGGGUAAUAUGGUAGCACAUGAUUUUGUUACUUGAGAUUGCCUGUAAUUGUAGACAUCAGUGAGCAGGGUGAUAUGAACCUCACAGGGGCUCUUGAAGUUCUGCUUCUUCCCUAUUCCUUAAUGCAAUACAAUAUUUAGGUUCAUCUUUUCAAUUUUCCUGGAGAAAUUAAAUACUGUGCCAUAAUAAAAAAAUAAGUAAUUUGAAAGUAAAGGAAGGGCAUGAAUGGAGAGAAGGCAGGAAAACAUUCUAGGUUGGAAAAAAUGGCAGAAGUAAUGUUGGGACAUUGGAGUGAUGGUGGAGGUGGGAAUAGAGUCUAGGAUCUCUUCAUCCCAUACUAUGCAUCUAUCUUCACAAAAUUAGUAUGGCCAAAUAUUAAAUCAGCUCAUUUCUGGUUGGGAAAAGUAGGGUGAAUGUGCCUUUCUAGCUGUCCUUGAGAUGUAAAUCUCCUGUAACAUAGCUUCCCUAGUGGUCACCUCAAAGGCUUUGUUCUCUCCAGGAUAGAUGCUACAGAGUGGGACAGUACUUGGUGUGUGUGUAUCUCAAUUUUUUUUUAACAUGACAAAUUGAACUAGGGGCAAGAGAAGGAUAGACAGAGGAGCCUAUGAUGGGGUGGUGGAUACUAAAUAUUUUCCAGGUGUAAGGAGCAGAGGAGGAAAAGGGAGACUGGGUAACCCUUUUUCAGACCAUCAUUUAGUCCAUUUUAUGUUGCAAAUAUUAGCAAACCUACUCCAGCUUUCUUAAACAGUAGGGUUUUCAUUACAACAUAGUUAAGAGAGUAGGCUUAGGAGUAAGAUUGCUUGAUCCUGAGUAAGUUACUUAAUCUUGGUGUCUCAGUUUCUUCAUUCCAGUUAAGUAAAUAUAUUUAAAUUAAAUUAUAUUAGUUAGUAAAUGUAAAGCACACAGAAAAGUGUUUGGCUUCUGGUGAGCUUUCAAUAAGUGUUAACUAUUAUUUGUUAUUAUUAUUUUAACAAAACCAACCUCCAAAACCUAUGAAGUCAGUUUACAGAAAGCCACCAGGAAAAGGGAAAUAAGAAGAUUCUUUACUUUGCUGUCAUUUGAUACACUUAGCAUUUUAAAUGACUAUAUGUACAAUAUUAACCAUGCCUUUCCACAAAACUAUGUGUGUGCAUAUGAAUUACAGGGCUUUCAUUUGAAACUGAACUAUCUGUGUUUGUAGUCACUUUAAUCAUACAACAAACCUACAAAAUAUUUAAGCAUAAAUUAUCAUGAUGACUAAAUAUGGAAAAGCUUCUGUUACCAAAACCUGCACCCAAAUUGACUGCACAGGAUGGGUAAUUGGAUGGUGGUGUAAAGAAUGCUCAUGAGGACUAGGCUGCUGCUAAUUAGAUCUUCUAUGCUAUUUAAAUGUUCUCCAAGCUUCAGGGAGUGCCCUGAAGGCAGUUGGACAUUAGCCUUGUGGUUUUUGAGGGUAACCUACAGUUUGUCAGCACAGGGGUGGAGGUGAGCACCAUGGGACUUUUCCCAGGCUGCUGGUUAACAUACUGUGGUUUCAAUCCUUUAAGCCAAUAAAUGGAGGAGAGAGAAAGAAGGCAGACUGAAAUUAGAGGAAAAGAGACAAAGAAAGGAAAAGUGGAAGUAAGAAUAAUAUUCAUGAAAUGUCUUCUUUGGGCCAGAUAUUUUUUUAGGAACUUUCACAUAUUGUGCUUACAUCAACUCUGUGGGAAAUGUAUGAUUAUACUAUCCUCAUUUGUAACAGACAUUGUUGGGUGCCUAUAUAACAUAUAACAGCUAUUUUUCUUCAUUUUUUUCUUGCUGAUGGCGCUUUUUUUUUUUUAGUGUUUACUUCCCAUACAAAACUUAUGUCUCCAUGUCUCCAUCCUUCAGCAAUAGGGGUAAUUCUGAAAGGUCAUUGUUUUGCAAUUGCCCUUGAAAGGAAAUUCUUGGACAUAACAACAGAUAAGAUUCUAGCCAAUGAAAGGUGAUGAGAAGGUUGCUGAGAAGUUUCUGAGAAAGGUUUCUUUAUUCUUUAACAAAUACCCUGGAAAGAGACAGGCCUUCUGCUGCUGUUCAUGGUUGUACCUGCACAGGAUGCCUGAAAAGGAGUAACCGUGGGGUCAGAAGAGGAGCCAGCGUGAGGACAAAGCAGAUACACUGAAGUACCACCUGUCACUGAAUUUUUGUGCAAGAGUAUAAACAUUCUCAUUGUUUAAUCUUUCUGUGGGAGACGCUUUACUAUGUGUAGCAAAGUCAUUCUAACUGACAUACCAUUUUCCAUUGUAUGAGAAAACUGAUGUACAGAAAGGUUAAGAAACUUGCCUGCAUUUGCAUGCAUAAUGAGGAGUGGAGAGAACAGGUUGUGCCUUCUAAUAUACAGGCAAGAUAUGUCUCUUUUAAACAGCACAUACAGACACACUCCAAAAUGACAAUUUCCAUCAUUUUUUAAAAAUUAAAUGAGACAAAGACUCUAAAACUAUUUAAAUAACAUGUACAUUACUGUCUUGGGAUUUAUUUUUGUUUCAGCUCUAUUGAGAUAUAGUUGACAAAUAAAAUGGUAUGAAUUUAAGGUGUACAAUGUGAUGAUUUGAUGUAUGUAUAUAUUGUGAAAAGACCAAAAUAAAGUCAGUUAACAUAUCUAUUA
rnacentral:lncRNA from 1 species